GUGAAUCAUCGAAUCUUUGAACGCACCUUGCACUCCUUGGUAUUCCGAGGAGUAUGCUUGUUUGAGAGUAAUGUAAUCAUCAAUCCUCCUUUACUUUUGUGAAGUUGGCUUGGAUUUGGGGAUUGCUGGCCUUUCAUUAGGUCCUGGCUUCCCUUGAAUGCAUUAGUUGAAUCAAGUUACAACGUUACGUGUGGUGUGAUAAUAUCUUCACUGCAUAGUUGUAAUGAAGUUUGGCUUCUAACAGUCCUUCACUGGACAAUACUUUGAACAAUGUACCUCAAAUCAAGUAGGACUACCCGC
rnacentral:misc_RNA from 1 species